rnacentral:lncRNA from 13 species
GCUGGACUGGCUGGGAGGGGCCUGGCCCAGGAGGGGAGUUAGGAGAAGACCUGACUGUAAAUCCUCAGGCAAGCGCAGGUGGGGAGCCUCUGCGGGUCCCAGAGGCCAAGCCAGGGGGCAGUUUGGGGCAGGCAGGGGGGCUGGAGGGGAAGAGCAGGGGCUUGGCAAGGUGACCUCGACUUUCGGCAGCCUGGAUGCCAGCCUGCAGUGUGGGCGAGCCUGCAGCGUGGGAAAAAUAGGAAGAAAAGAAGUUCAUGGGUCUGUGUGGCGGCAGAGGAAAAGUAAAAACCGAGCAACGACAAGUGUGAGAACAGAGGAAUACAAUAACAAACCCUUAGAAAAAUGUGAAUCCAAGUUCCAGGGAGAUACCACGUUACACCCAUGAGGAUGGUUACCGAUUUUAAACAACAGAAAAUAACACUUGUUGGCGAGAACGUGGUUACACUGGCACCCUCAUGCACUGUUGGUAAGAAUGUGAAAUGGGGCAGCCACUGUGGAAAACAGUAUGAUGAUUCCUCAAAAAACUAGAAAUAGAAUCACCCGAGGACCUGGCAGGUCCACUUCUGGGUAUAAACACAGAAGAAUCAAAAGCAGGGUCUCCAGCAACAUUCCUUCACCAUGUUCACAGCAGAUCAGUCACAUGGCCAAGGGGCAGAAGCAGCAUCACCGUCCACCACAGAUGAACGGAAAAUGAAAUGGAAUGUAACUCAGCCUUCAACAGGAAGGAAAACCUAGUGUGUGCUGCAGCACGGAUUGGUCUGCCAGACCCUGUGAUCAAGGAGAUGAGCCAGACACGGAAGGGCAAACACCGCCCAAUUCCGUGUACCUGCGGUUCCGGCGGAGCCAAACUCACCCAGACGGAGAGUAGAGUGUAGGGUCCCGGGGGCCGG